rnacentral:lncRNA from 1 species
AAGAUGGGGUAGUCAUCAGACAGAGUUUCUCAGCCUUUCAUGAUUGGACAUUUUUGCUGAUACCUUGAAACUGAUUAGAACCUCCGAAAGCUGGACUGGAUAGAUAGGAGGGCAGGCUGUUGCUGGGGACUGACAUGACCAGUCGAUCUCAAGGGUUAUUAGGAGCACACAUUGUGGGCUUUGGGAUUGCUUGCAUUGGAUUUUGAAGACAAAAUCACCAGCCAGAGAUGUAUAAAGAGAUAAUGCUUUUGUUUCUUUUGUUAAGCCAUGCUUCAACGCAAACUGAAACAUAUCCCUCAGAAUCACCAGACCCAACUGAGCAUAAAAUUGAUGAAUCGGAAUAUGACAGCACUAGUACAAACGUGCAAAGUAAUGGACACCAAUCCACACCGAAACCAGAACUUAAAGAAGGAUCAGGAAAUCGCUUGACCCACGCUAUCUCUGGACCAGACAUCUCCCUUUUUCUAAGUGGUCACCAUCAUAGUUUUUGCUGUAAUGGCUGUCAUCGUUGGAGUCAUCAUCCUUGUGUCACUCUUGGUUCGUCGACUGACAAGGAAUAGUAACAUGUAAAAACAUCCUCCCAAAAUGACUGGAAAAGAUCCCGAGAAGACGACUGUAUAAAUGAUUCUGUGGAAAAGUGGGAAGCAUUGUUCUGUCACAAUAAUAGAAGGCAUCGCUCUGGACUGGAGACAACAUUUCAUCCAGAAGCCCCUACUCUAGGGACUCAAUGAUGGACAAAUGGCCCUGCUGACCCAACGUUUUUGAUAUUGUUAAAAGUUGUUUUAUUCAUACUCUUGCUUAAGUUUUGUAUUUGCUUAAUCGCCGAGUUAAGAGUUUAGGAACUAACCUGUGAUCUCCCAUCACAUCUUUGGAAAGGUGUUCUACUGGCCUGAUAAUCACUUUAGACUGGGUACCUAAAGACAUUGCAAUGCCAUCAUCUUCAGAUUUGUUUAAACCUUCAGUUCUCCCUACUACUUCUACUAACCUUUUGACCUGGGCAACAAAGGUGCUAGCAUGCCUAUACAUGGAAAUGUUUCACAUGCCAAUGUAAAUUCUGCUCACAAAGGCAAUUAGCCCAGUACAUACAGUAUCAUGGUAUCAGAAUCAUUUAAGGAUUCUGUAAUGGUGUAACAAAGCAUACCAUUUAAUGCAGAAAAGAGACUGUGAAAUAUAAAAG